rnacentral:rRNA from 1 species
UACGUAGGGGGCAAGCGUUGUCCGGAAUCAUUGGGCGUAAAGAGCGCGUAGGCGGCCCGAUAAGUCCGCUGUGAAAGUCAAGGGCUCAACCCUUGAAUGCCGGUGGAUACUGUCGGGCUAGAGUCCGGAAGAGGCGAGUGGAAUUCCUGGUGUAGCGGUGAAAUGCGCAGAUAUCGGGAGGAACACCGGUGGCGAAGGCGGUUCUCUGGGCCUUACCUGACGCUGAGGAGCGAAAGCGUGGGGAGCGAACAGG